UUCUGGCUCAGGAUGAACGCUAGCUACAGGCUUAACACAUGCAAGUCGAGGGGCAGCAUUGGAGUAGCAAUACUCAGAUGGCGACCGGCGCACGGGUGAGUAACACGUAUCCAACCUGCCGCUUACUCGGGGAUAGCCUUUCGAAAGAAAGAUUAAUACCCGAUGGUAUAAAGAGUUCGCAUGUUCUCUUUAUUAAAGAAUUUCGGUAAGCGAUGGGGAUGCGUUCCAUUAGAUAGUUGGCGGGGUAACGGCCCACCAAGUCUACGAUGGAUAGGGGUUCUGAGAGGAAGGUCCCCCACAUUGGAACUGAGACACGGUCCAAACUCCUACGGGAGGCAGCAGUGAGGAAUAUUGGUUAAUGGACGAGAGUCUGAACCAGCCAAAGUAGCGUGAAGGAUGACUGCCCUAUGGGUUGUAAACUUCUUUUAUAAGGGAAUAAAGUGAGGGACGUGUCCCUUUUUGUAUGUACCUUAUGAAUAAGGAUCGGCUAACUCCGUGCCAGCCGCCGC
rnacentral:rRNA from 1 species